UACAGAGGCCACGAGCGUUAGGCGGAAUCACUGGGCUUAAAGCGUGUGUAGGUGGAUGACUAAGUACCUUGUGAAAUCCCACGGCUCAACCGUGGAACUGCUUGGUAUACUGGUCGUCUUGAGGCACUCAGGGGCGAGCGGAACAGAUGGUGGAGCGGUGAAAUGCGUAGAUAUCAUCUGGAACGCCAAUGGUGAAGACAGCUCGCUGGGGGUGUACUGACACUGAGACACGAAAGCCAGGGGAGCGAACGGG
rnacentral:rRNA from 1 species